GGGGACUCCCAAAUUUCACACAAGCUUUCAAAAACCAGAUCGACUUCAAGAAGAAGAAGAACAAAGAAGAGAUGGAGAGCGUAUUUGGACUUGUUGGCAACGGAUUCGUCAUCGUGGCCGCCGACACAUCGGCGGUGCACAGUAUUUUGGUUCAUAAAUCCAAUGAGGACAAGAUCAUGGUCCUCGAUUCCCACAAGCUCGUCGCAGCUAGCGGCGAACCUGGCGACAGGGUUCAGUUCACGGAGUAUAUACAGAAGAAUGUGGCUUUGUAUCAGUUUCGCAAUGGUAUCCCUUUGACCACUGCUGCUGCUGCUAACUUCACUCGUGGUGAACUCGCUACCGCCUUGCGGAAGAAUCCAUAUUCCGUGAACAUUCUUCUGGCGGGAUAUGACAAGGAAACUGGCCCGUCCCUCUAUUACAUUGACUAUAUUGCCACCCUUCACAAGGUUGACAAGGGAGCUUUUGGUUAUGGGUCUUACUUUUCACUCGCCAUGAUGGACAGACACUACCACAGUGGCAUGACAGAAGAAGAAGCCAUUGAUUUGGUUGAUAAAUGCAUACUGGAGAUCAGGUCCAGGCUUGUUGUGGCCCCACCAAACUUCGUUAUCAAAAUUGUAGACAAAAAUGGAGCUAGGGAGGUUGCUUGGCGCGAAUCCAUCAAGGACGGAGUUAGUGUUCCUUCAGCUUAAGAUUUAAAUGUUAUAUCAGCGGAGAUUUGCUUUUCUUUCUGUCUUCUUAACUUUGUAUGGGCAACGAGCAGGGGUGCAUUUGACCCUUGUAGGCGCCCUAGUUUCAGAUGUUUUG
rnacentral:misc_RNA from 1 species